rnacentral:misc_RNA from 1 species
UUAAGUUCAGCGGGUAUUCCUACCUGAUCCGAGGUCAACCUUUCAGAAGUUGGGGGUUUUACGGCGUGGCCGAGCCGCGCUCCGGUGCGAGGUGCAAUUACUACGCAGAGGAGGCUGCGGCGAGACCGCCAAUGAAUUUCGGGGGCGGCGACCCGCGGACGGGUGCCGGUCCCCAACACCAAGCCCCCGGGGGGGCUUGA